UUGGACCAUAACCUAGGGAAAGGAAGAAAGAUGCCAGCUCUCAAAAGAGGAACGUCAACAUCAGAUUGUAAGAAAGUGACAUGGAUGGCAAUUAUUGGUGUAUUAUUAAAAAACCGUCUCCCCUAGUGGCUUCAAGAAAGCAAAUGGUCAUACUGAAGAGGCCCACACAGGAAAAAAGUAAAGGUGGCCUUCAGCCAAUAACCAGCAACAAACUGAGAUCCUUAUUCCAAAAGACAUUAAGAAACUGAAUUCUCACAAUGAUCACACGAGGCAGGAAGCAGAUCCUUCUACAAACACAUGGUGAGAUCAAAGUGAAGCCCCAGCCAACACCUGCACUAUAUUCUUGCAAACAACCCAGACAGCAAUGACGGAGUCUGCACAAUCCCUACAGAUGGGCGACAUCUCCCCUCAAACUCCUCUCAUCUGCGGUCAGGAACUCUGGAGGAGGUUUCAGGCUUCAGGGGAGUUGGAAGGGCUUUCUAAGACCUGAUGCACUAUGU